GAUGAACGCUAGCUACAGGCUUAACACAUGCAAGUCGAGGGACCGGCGCACGGGAGAGUAACACGUAUACAACCUGCCCUUUACUCGGUGAUAGCCUUUCGAAAGAAAGAUUAAUCCCCGAUAUCACGGAUGGGGAUGCGUUCCAUUAGGUUGUUGGUGAGGUAACGGCUCACCAAGCCUUCGAUGGCUAGGGGUUCUGAGAGUAAGGGCCCCCACAUUGAAACGGAGACCCGGACCAAACUCCUACGGGAGGCAGCAGUGAGGAAUAUUGGUCAAUGGGCGGUAGCCUGAACCAGCCAAGUAGCGUGAAGGAUGAAGGCUUAUGGGUCGUAAACUUCUUUUAUAUAAGAAUAUGUAUUAUAUGAAUAAGGAUCGGCUAACUCCGUGCCAGCAGCCGCGGUAAUAC
rnacentral:rRNA from 1 species